UUUUUUUUUUUUUUUUUGCUUUUUAGGGCUGCACCCAUAGCACAUGGAAGUUCCCAGGCUAGAGGUCGAAUUGGAGCUAUAGACCUGGCCUACACCGUAGCCAGAGCAAUGCCAGAUCCAAGCCACAACAUCAACCUAUAGCGCAGCUCACAGUAAUGCCAGAUCCUUAACGCACUGAGUAGGGCCAGGGAUGGAAUCCACGUCCUCAUGGAUCCUAGUUGGGUUCGUUACCCCUGAGCCACAACAGGAACUCCAAGCCAACAUAUUCUUACUUAAACCCUCCAUAAGGGUACAGAGAGAGUUCUGGGUUUUUUGGAUGGGGACUUCCUUUUCUGGUUAUCUAUUAUUGUAUAACAAAUGACUCUAAAACAUAUGGCUUAAAGCAACAACUAAUUUAUUAUCUCUCUUACUCAGGCAGUGUUAGCUGGGCAAUGUUUCUGCUCCAUGCAGCACUGACUGAGGUCACUGGGUGGUACUCAGCUGGUAGUUGGGCUUGUCUGGAGGGUCAAGACAGCUUCACCCACAUGUCUGAUAUCUUGUCAAGAAAGCAGGAUUAAGUGGGGUCCUCAUGUGAAACACUUACACAUGGUUUCUCCAUCAUGAGGGUCUCAGCCUGGUCAGAUAUUCUCUGCUGGUUCAUGGUACCCGGAGAGAAAGUGCUAAAUGGAAGUUUCCAGUUUCUGAAACCUGGGCCUGGAAAUAGGCACUGCAUCAGUUCCAAUGCAUAUAUACUGGUCAAAGUAGUUACAGAGCUCAACUAGAUUCUGUAGCAAGGGGACCUCCUGACUGGAAUAUUGUCAAAGAAUGUGUAACCCUUUUUAAUCUGCCAAAGGGCAAUGAGCUGCAAGAUUACUCUGAAAAAGUUUGGUCCACAGGCCUAGAAUGGGUCACUCUCUGUGAUGUCCAUCAGGAAUACAGAUUGCCUCCUGGGUGCAGGAACUAGUCUAGGCAUUGGAUGUAAUGAUAAACACAACCAAAAAGAACCUCUUUGUUAAGUUUGAAGUUCUUAUUGGACGUACAAGAGGAAAUACAAGACAUAUUUUAAAACAUAUGGUAACUGUGAUGAUUAAUGUUAUGUGUCAACCUGACUGAGCUAAGGGAAGACCAGAUAACUGAUAAACCACACUUCUGGUUGUGUUUGUGAGGCUGUUUCUGGAAGACAUGUGCAUUCGAAUCGGUAGACUGAGUAAGGAAGAUUGCCUUUGGAAGUUCCUGUUGUGGUUCAGUGGUAACGAACCUGACUAGUAUCCAUGAGGAUGCAGACUUGAUCUGCUUAGUGGGUUAAGCAUCUGGCAUUGCCACGAGCUGUGGUGUAGGUUACAGACAUGGCUCAGAUCCCACAUUGCUAUGGCUAUGGUACAGGUUGGCAGCUGUAGCUCCGAUUCAACCCCUAGCCUGGGAACCUCCAUAUGCCUCGAGUAUGGCUGUAAGAAAAAAAAAAAAGAAGAUUGCUCUCAUCAGUAGGUAUCAGCCAAUCCAUGGAGAGAGGAUUGAGGAAAGGAUGGAGGAAGGAUGAAUUUGAUUUGUCUGCUUGAGCAUCUGCCCUUGGAUGCACUCCUUGUUCUAGGGUUUUUAGACUCAGACUAAGACUUACACCCCUGCUCCCCUGGUUCUUAAGCCUUCCAAUUUGCACUGGAACUAUAUGACCAGCCUUCCUGGGCCUCCAGCAGUACACAGCAGACUGUGGGACUGCCAGUCUCCAAUUGUGUGAGCCAAUCCCUCAUAAUAAGUUUCUUGCUGUAUAGCUGUAUAUCUCCUACUGAUGCAGUUCUUCCGGAGAAUCUUGACUAAUACAGUGUCCUAAGUGACUGCUCAUUAUCUAAAGAUCCUGGCCCAUGGAGGAGGAGCUCUAGGUUUUCAUCUUCCAGCUUGGUGCUAAGGAUCUUCAUGACCAUGAGAAAGUCCAGUCACACCUUCAGAUUGCAGUUUCUCAUCAGUAAAACUGGAUUUUGUAAUCUCUGAGGUCUCUCCCACUGUACAUUUUAUGGGUCUAGGCAAUCAGUAUUUAUGAUUAUGAAAAGAGCUGGAGUCAUGAAUUCUUUCCUUAAUUGUUAAAAAUAACAUGGCUUUUCUGUCAUCAAAUUCCACUGCACUUUUCUUCCACAGACUUGGUUCAUUUCUAGAGCAGACCUCAGAGAGAGCUCAGGGUAAAGGCAAUAUUUUUGUGAAAAUUAAAUCUUACCAGCUAAUUUGAUUUCCCUGACUUUCCCUGAGAACUUGUUCUUUCCAAACUUUCCCUGCUGUUCUCUUUUUAAAAUUAUAAUAUAAACUGUUUCCAUUGUCAUUGGAACAUGACAGCAGGCUCGGUAUGGCCAAAUGUUCCAGGGUUCAUUGGGUUCCUGAACCACAAGGGAACCUGAGAAGUCUUAAUAACAGAGUGAAUGAACAAGAGCCUGAGAGGGAGUAAUUUGGGGUUCAGUUAAGAAAAGGGGGCCAUUCAUGACUGAAAGAUGAACACCUAGAAGGGUAACAUUGAACUUGGUGGUGGGAGAACAACCUUAGUUACUUCUUUCAGGGAAUUUAUUCCUUUUUUUUCCUACCUCAACCAUUUCCAGUAAUAAUAUGUAAUUUAAUCCAACAAAAAUUGGAGGAUAGCUAGUAAAUUCAUGGAACACCUACGUGACUCAGAGCACUAUGGUGAGUCUUGGGGAUUUGAGAGUGUCAAAGUAAGGCUAGGGCUGGACGGUAGUUAAAGCAGUACUGUUGGUUCUAUUCAGGGCUGUCACAAUGGGAGGAAGAGACCUCAGUACUGAACUGGGCUCAACAAUCCUGUUAGGUCAGUUUAGCCAGAACUUCCUUUCUCCCUGAUAUUUCUUCUAACUUUUCAUCCACUUAUUCCUACUCUGCUCCUCGGCUAUGAAUUCCCUCUUUCCUGUGCUUCCUACUUGCAUCUCCAACUAUUCUAAGUAUCUGAUCAGGCUCCUCAUCCUCCACCAUCCCCCAGACAAUAUCUGAUCACCCUGGCUUGUCUUCAGCAACAAUCCUGUUAGGUCAGUUUAGCCAGAACUUCCUUUCUCUGUGAUGUUUCAUCGUGGGCUCAGUGGAAACAAAUCUGACUAGUAUCCAUCAGGAUGCAGGUUCGAUCCCUGGCCUCGCUCAGUGAGUUAAGGAUCUGGCAUUGCUGUGAGCUGCGGUGUAGUUCUCAGACAUGGCUCAGAUCCUGUGUUGCUGUGGCUGUGGUGUAGGCCAGCAGCUACAGUUUUGAUUCAACCCUUAGCCUGGGAACUGCCAUAUGCUGCAGGAGUGGCUCUAAAAAGACAAAAAAAAAAAAAAAAAAAAAAAGAAGAAGAAGCUUUAUCAAGAAGCAAAACCACCUGAGGGACAAAAAUAUGUAUGACUUUUGCCUUAACUUCCAGCAGUAUUCUGGGUAAAUAUAUUAACUAUUUUAUGAUUAUGUUAUGGAUAUGCUAUUUGGGUUUCUAGAAGAAAACAAAGUGAUCUCUAGGAUAUGCUUUCUACUAUUACAUUAAUACAAUGUACUGGAGUUCCUGUCAUGGCUCAGUGGUUAAUGAAUCUGACUAGGAACCAUGAGGUUGUGGGUUCGAUCCCUGGCCUUGCUCAGUGGGUGAAGGAGCCAGCGUUGCCGUGAGGUGUGGUAUAGGUCACAGACGUGGCUCGGAUCCUGAGUUGCUGUGGCUCUGGUGUAGGCCAGUGGCUACAGCUCCAAUUGGAUACUUAGCCUGGGAACUUCCAUAUGCCGCGGGUGCAGCCCUGAAAAGACAAAAAAAUUAAAAAUUAAAAAAUAAAAAAUAAAAUGUACUAGUAUGUAAGCUUUGCAAUUGUUAUGGGAAAUAAAUGCUGUUAAGACCUCCUUGUAACUCCAUCCUUGGGAUCCAUUCCAGGAAACAGCAUUACAAAAUAAGACUGUUAUGGUUGGAGGUCUUUGUGAUUCAUCAGUAACGUCUCCCUCAGAUUAGCCCAAGAAAGAUACAAUGCACACUUCCUAGUGAAGGUGUUAAGUGAAGACUCACUCACUAAUAAUAAUAAUGUAAUAAUCAGGAGAUUUAUCAUUGACUACAUCCCAAUAGUAUGCCAGAUGCUUCUCCAUACAUUGCUUGUCAUACUCACACUAGUCCCUGAAGGUCAUCAUCUGAAAAGACUGAGGUUCAG
rnacentral:lncRNA from 1 species